UGAGGCAGGAGAAUUGCUUGAACCCAGGAGGCGGAGGCUGCGGUGAGCCGAGAUCGUGCCACUGCACUCCAGCCUGGGUGACAGAGUGAGACUCCAUCUC
rnacentral:miRNA from 1 species